rnacentral:rRNA from 1 species
AGAGUUUGAUCCUGGCUCAGGAUGAACGCUAGCUACAGGCUUAACACAUGCAAGUCGAGGGGCAGCAUGGUCUUAGCUUGCUAAGGCUGAUGGCGACCGGCGCACGGGUGAGUAACACGUAUCCAACCUGCCGUCUACUCUUGGCCAGCCUUCUGAAAGGAAGAUUAAUCCAGGAUGGGAUCAUGAGUUCACAUGUCCGCAUGAUUAAAGGUAUUUUCCGGUAGACGAUGGGGAUGCGUUCCAUUAGAUAGUAGGCGGGGUAACGGCCCACCUAGUCGACGAUGGAUAGGGGUUCUGAGAGGAAGGUCCCCCACAUUGGAACUGAGACACGGUCCAAACUCCUACGGGAGGCAGCAGUGAGGAAUAUUGGUCAAUGGGCGAGAGCCUGAACCAGCCAAGUAGCGUGAAGGAUGACUGCCCUAUGGGUUGUAAACUUCUUUUAUAAAGGAAUAAAGUCGGGUAUGCAUACCCGUUUGCAUGUACUUUAUGAAUAAGGAUCGGCUAACUCCGUGCCAGCAGCCGCGGUAAUACGGAGGAUCCGAGCGUUAUCCGGAUUUAUUGGGUUUAAAGGGAGCGUAGAUGGAUGUUUAAGUCAGUUGUGAAAGUUUGCGGCUCAACCGUAAAAUUGCAGUUGAUACUGGAUGUCUUGAGUGCAGUUGAGGCAGGCGGAAUUCGUGGUGUAGCGGUGAAAUGCUUAGAUAUCACGAAGAACUCCGAUUGCGAAGGCAGCUCACUGGAGUGUAACUGACGUUGAUGCUCGAAAGUGUGGGUAUCAAACAGGAUUAGAUACCCUGGUAGUCCACACGGUAAACGAUGAAUACUCGCUGUUUGCGAUAUACGGCAAGCGGCCAAGCGAAAGCGUUAAGUAUUCCACCUGGGGAGUACGCCGGCAACGGUGAAACUCAAAGGAAUUGACGGGGGCCCG